GGCACUCCUCUUCACUCUGUGCAACUUUAAAACAUAAAUUGACACAGACAAAAAAAUUGAAACUCUACAUUAAAGUUAUUUCCAGAAUCCAAAGACAGAACCAGUAAAGAGGCAAAGGUCAUACACAAAUAAAUCUGGCGAAGAAGUAGAUGGACAGAUGGAUGGGAAGAAAAGUGUUGCAGAAUCACUUCACAACAAUGUGAGAAACAGAUUAAGUCUGAGAGAAUAGGGCCACCAGUAGCCAUUUCUGCUAAAGGUGGCUCUACAUGUUAUUGAAUCAUGGGGUGUGUGGGGUUCCUAAAUUUGGUAUGAUGUGCUUUUUAUUUUAUAAAAACAUAAAAAAGGUAUUUUUUUUUCUUUUCUUAUAUUUAUGUGGUAAAGACCAGUGGCAAUUUAAAAAAAGAAUCCUAAAGGUUCAAGUACUCGGGCAUACUGUGCACAUAUUGUGAGCCCCACGGACUCCGCGCUAACUCCUUCAUAGUCGAGCGUACCUUUUCACUACAUUUCUUGUGACAAAUUCCUAUAGUUCCCACACUUGCUGCCAGCGGACAAAGUGAUGGUAAAACAUUUAAAUAGCUAGUUUAGCGCUUAGGGGCGUUUCCUUUCACACAGGCACCCAUGACACAUCUUUCAGUGAGAACAGAGAGGGACUGUGAUGCCUCGCGUCCUUGCAACUGCCUGCUUGGAGCAGCUCAGUGUACUCAGUGAUUCUGUGUAUUGUACUCUACUAACUCUCUUCCACAGGUGGCAGUUGUUGACAGGUGGGCGUGGCCUGCACCUGCGGCUCGUUGUGGCUACUCUGUCUCGAGCUUAAAAGGAGCAUUCAAUCAGCUGAAGGACGCCAAAGUGUUAGCCCAUUGUGGUACACCUAGGCCAUUGUCCUGUCGACAGUUCUCCAUUCCUGUGAGUUUUGAUGUUCCAGAUUCCUAGCUCUAACUUUGUCUCCUGUCUCCCUCAGUUCGUCGUUCUCUGGAAUUACUUACCUGUUUUGUCUCCGUGCGCUGAAGACCGGUUACUGAAUCCCUGCUGCUCAGAUUUUGCUCUGGCGUUCCCCUCGAGCCCACUUGGUGGUACCAAGCCGGACAAGAGACCCCCUGUCCUGGAUUCACUCUGGUUCCCUCAGCUGCUCCUCCUGCCUGCCUCCGCUGUGUUGCUGCUCGAGCUCCCCGCCUGCGUUCCAUCCACUAGCUCACCUGUCGCUCAGCCACCUCACACCAUAUGAAAGUAUAAGAUCGCAGAACCCUUCCUUCCACUCACCCUCCCCGGAUAAGCUUUCCAUACCUAGUGUGCUCCUACUCUGACGUUCCGAAACUUGCCUGCUGCUCACGUUGUGAGCAUUUAGAUCCGUGUAUAGCCUUAAGUAAACAUCUUUAAGCUGUCUUUUGUUCUCCAACUGUGUCUGCAUGUGGGCCAAACACCCUAAAACCAUGACACAAAACAGUUCAAUGUAAAGACUUCUUGCCACCAAGCAACUUAUAAUGUGACUCUGCAUACGUGGUCGGAAAAUUUUUGUUCUACGCAUACCUGUCUGCACAGACUACGCAAAGACAUCUGCAGACUCAUGGUUGUGGGGGCCUUAAUACUAAACAUGAUGUCAAUUUAGGAAACUUCUAAGAAUUUCCCGAAUGCCAAGAUAUUUAUUAGAUUUUACCUCAGUAAAAUAAAAGCUAUUCACAAAGCACCCUAUGCCUUUAGAUAGCUCCUAAGGUAAAAAAAAAAAAAAAAAAAAAAAGUUAGG